UUUUAUUUUUAUUUUUUUCAAAAAGAGGCCUCCCACCCCCAAUCUGUCGUCUCUCUCUCUUGAAGCUAGGAUACAAGAACGUGAAGCUGCAUAUUUCGGAGACAGGGUGGCCGUCGAAGGGGGACGCCGACGAGGCGGGAGCAUCGCCGGAGAAUGCACAGAUACAACGGGAACCUGCUGAAGCUGCUGAAUCAUAACAAGGGGACGCCGAUGAGGCCCAACAUAUUGAAGCCCGACGGCACACGCCCGUCUAUAGUCUCUCCAGCUCUAACACCCGUCGCUACCCAGUCGGUCGCUUCUCCGCUUGCGGCUUCCGUUUCCCUGAUUCUCUUAGCCGCUGCAUCCUUCAGUCUCUUCUAAGUUGAUGCUCAGAUUGGGUGUAUUUUUUGCUGUUGUUGAGAACGCCGACCGCUGUGAUGAUUCAUCUCCGGGAGUUAGUUCUUUAGAUAUCGAUGCAUAGAUUUAUUUAUUUCAGCCCCAGCUAUUUCUUGUUAAUGUUUAUGAUAUUGAGAAUGAAUUCUUGUGAUUUUAUUUUAUUUUUUUCAAAAAGAGUUUCUCAAGUGAGUAAAUUUAAUCAAUGUGUGAUGAUAUUGAUAACUGCAAACAGAAGAGUCCGGCUGAAUUCUGAUCAUAUGACGUGGUCUCUCUCUCUCUCUCNCUAGUGUGAUGAUAUUGUAUAACUAGCAAACAACGAAGAAGUACCGGCCGUCGAAUUACUGAUCAUAUGACGUGGUCUCUCUCUCUCUCUCUCUCUCUCUCUCUCUCUCUCUCUCUUUCUCUCUCU
rnacentral:lncRNA from 1 species